GUCUGGGAUAGCUCACUCAGUAGAGCAUGAGAAUCUUAAUCUCAGGGCAAAAGGUUCGAACCCCAUGUUGGGCA